rnacentral:tRNA from 1 species
UGGCUCAGUUGGUAGAGCAUGGCGCUUGCAACGCCAGGGUUGAGGGUUUGAAUCCCAU